rnacentral:rRNA from 1 species
GAAUCUUGCGCAAUGGAGGAAACUCUGACGCAGCCACGCCGCGUGCUGGAAGACGGCCCUAUGGGUUGUAAACAGCGUUUGUUAGGGAAGAACCUGGAGGUUUCGAUCUCCACUGACGGUACCUAUCGAAUAAGCACCGGCUAACUCCGUGCCAGCCGCCGCGGUAAUACGGAGGGUGCAAGCGUUGUCCGGAAUCAUUGGGUGUAAAGGGUGUGCAGGCGGAAGUCUAAGUCGGAGGUGAAAUCUUGCCGCUUAACGGUAAAAGUGCCUUCGAAACUGGAUUUCUUGAGUUCGGAAGAGGUUGGUGGAAUUCGUGGUGUAGCGGUGAAAUGCAUAGAUAUCACGAAGAACACCAGUGGCGAAGGCGGCCAACUGGUCCGAUACUGACGCUGAGACACGAGAGCGUGGGGAGCGAACAGG